AUUGAACGCUGGCGGCAGGCCUAACACAUACAAGUCGAGCGGGAACUUCGGUUCUAGCGGCGGACGGGUGAGUAAUGCGUAGGAAGCUACCCGACAGAGGGGGAUACCAGUUGGAAACGACUGUUAAUACCGCAUAAUGUCUACGGACCAAAGUGUGGGACCUUCGGGCCACAUGCUGUCGGAUGCGCCUACGUGGGAUUAGCUAGUUGGUGAGGUAAUGGCUCACCAAGGCGACGAUCCCUAGCUGGUUUGAGAGGAUGAUCAGCCACACUGGAACUGAGACACGGGCCAGACUCCUACGGGAGGCAGCAGUGGGGAAUAUUGGACAAUGGGCGCAAGCCUGAUCCAGCCAUGCCGCGUGUGUGAAGAAGGCCUUCGGGUUGUAAAGCACUUUCAGUAGGGAGGAAGGGGUUGUAGUUAAUAGCUGCAACUUUUGACGUUACCUACAGAAGAAGCACCGGCUAACUCUGUGCCAGCAGCCGCCGUAAAAC
rnacentral:rRNA from 1 species